rnacentral:tRNA from 1 species
GCACCUUUAGCUCAGUUGGUUGAGCAUCUGACUCUUAAUCAGUGGGUCCCCGGUUCGAGUCCGUGAAGGUGCACCA